rnacentral:rRNA from 1 species
AUGGUUGACAGGGCUACGCCGUACAACUGGACGAGCUUCCAAGAGUACGCACGGCAGGCGAGCGCACCUGCCCUGCCAGAGACGAAGCGGCUGUACAACAAGUUGCUUUCAGUGGGCAUCAAGCCUGUGAUCCUCACUGGCCGGCGAGAGGCCCAGAGGACCGCCACUGUCACAAACCUCCGCCAGCAGGGGUUUUCUGGGUCGAUGGCGGUGCUGCUGAAGCCAGCGGAGUUCAAGGGCUCCUCGGUGACCUUCAAGUCCGGUGAGAGACAAAAGCUGUUGGACGCUGGGUAUGUCAUCGUCGGCAACAUCGGUGACCAGUGGAGCGACAUCCUCGGCACGCCAGAGGGCGCCCGCACCUUUAAGCUGCCCGACCCCAUGUACUACAUCGGCUAG